GGCUCGAUGGUGUAGUUGGUUAUCACGUUCGCCUCACAUGAAUCCUUCCAAACGGUUGGGAAUAAGUCCGCGCGAAAGGUCCCGAGUUCGAGCCUCGGUUGAGUCA